AGCGAUUCUCCUGCCUCAGCCUUCCAAGUAGCUGGGAUUACAGAGCAUUGGGACUUUGGAAAUGAGGACCUGGAUCUUUAUUCGGGGGAAAUAGCCCCAGGAGCCACAUCUCAGCAACUCCGUGGAAACACAGGUUUCUUUGCCGUUAAAAUUCCGUUCCUACCUUCUUUGUCUUCCCUUCCCCCAAAAGAAACUGGACAAAAAAGGUCAGAACUGGA